GGUGACCUUGCUGCCUGGGGCAGGAGAGUGUGGUGUGGUCUGGAGGACUCUCCUCUCCUGACUCCAGAGAUGCGGCGUCUGUCCCUAGGGCUGAUGUGAAAUACAAGCUUGUCUGAUUUCAAAACACAUGCUUUUCCAUCACUGUACCUCUCUGUGAUGUAAACAAGUUAAGAUGAGGUCAUUAGGGUGGGACCUAAGUCCAAUAUGACUGAUGUCCUUAUAGAAGAGGGAAAUGUGGACACAGACGCAGAGAGACGGCCAUGAGAAGAGGGAGGCAGAGAUUGGAGUUAGACCACGGCCAGCCAAGGACCGCCUGGGGCUCCUGGAAGCUGGGAGAGGCCGGAAGGACCCUCCCCCUGGGCCUCGGAAGCCCGGGGACGCUAAUACCCUCCUCCACAAUACACUUCCGCAAAGAGAGGUAAUAGACAUAUUUUGAAACGGAAAAGCUCUCCACACACGUGAGAAUGUGUUUUUAAUUGCUUCACAGAGUUGUUGAGGAUCAGGAAGUUUCCCUGUGAAAAAAAGUCGUUUGUUAAGUGUUAAGCACCCAUCACAUAUAUUAUUAUGAAACAAUCAUUCCAAUUCUGAUCACCUUGCCUCUCUUUUUCCUUGCACUCACAUCUGAUAAUUUCUUAACUAUUUACAUUGCUCUUUCUGUCAGUUCCGGGCUCCUUUCUUCCCCUUUGUACCUCGCAAACACGCAGAAGCAGUGGUCCCUGACAGCCCAGUUAGGGACCCGGGAUGGGUUAACCCACCUCCGAGGCGUGCCGCGCACAGUUAACUUUCCCGCGGGCGGCUGGGAACCCCUGUCUCCCCCCGGGGUGUGCGUGUGCACUCACGCG
rnacentral:lncRNA from 1 species